rnacentral:rRNA from 1 species
AGAGUUUGAUCCUGGCUCAGGACGAACGCUGGCGGCGCGCCUAACACAUGCAAGUCGAACGAAGUUAGAGAGAGCUUGCUUUUUCUAACUUAGUGGCGAACGGGUGAGUAACGCGUGAGGAACCUGCCUCAAAGAGGGGGACAACAGUUGGAAACGACUGCUAAUACCGCAUAAGCCCACAGCUCCGCAUGGAGCAGAGGGAAAAGGAGCAAUCCGCUUUGAGAUGGCCUCGCGUCCGAUUAGCUAGUUGGUGAGGUAACGGCCCACCAAGGCGACGAUCGGUAGCCGGACUGAGAGGUUGAACGGCCACAUUGGGACUGAGACACGGCCCAGACUCCUACGGGAGGCAGCAGUGGGGAAUAUUGCACAAUGGGGGAAACCCUGAUGCAGCGACGCCGCGUGGAGGAAGAAGGUCUUCGGAUUGUAAACUCCUGUUGUUGAGGAAGAUAAUGACGGUACUCAACAAGGAAGUGACGGCUAACUACGUGCCAGCAGCCGCGGUAAAACGUAGGUCACAAGCGUUGUCCGGAAUUACUGGGUGUAAAGGGAGCGCAGGCGGGAAGACAAGUUGGAAGUGAAAUCUAUGGGCUCAACCCAUAAACUGCUUUCAAAACUGUUUUUCUUGAGUAGUGCAGAGGUAGGCGGAAUUCCCGGUGUAGCGGUGGAAUGCGUAGAUAUCGGGAGGAACACCAGUGGCGAAGGCGGCCUACUGGGCACCAACUGACGCUGAGGCUCGAAAGUGUGGGUAGCAAACAGGAUUAGAUACCCUGGUAGUCCACACCGUAAACGAUGAUUACUAGGUGUUGGAGGAUUGACCCCUUCAGUGCCGCAGUUAACACAAUAAGUAAUCCACCUGGGGAGUACGACCGCAAGGUUGAAACUCAAAGGAAUUGACGGGGGCCCGCACAAGCAGUGGAGUAUGUGGUUUAAUUCGACGCAACGCGAAGAACCUUACCAAGUCUUGACAUCCUGCGACGAUGCUGGAAACAGUAUUUUCCUUCGGGACGCAGAGACAGGUGGUGCAUGGUUGUCGUCAGCUCGUGUCGUGAGAUGUUGGGU